rnacentral:rRNA from 1 species
AGAGUUUGAUCCUGGCUCAGGAUGAACGCUGGUGGCAUGCUUAACACAAGCAAGUCGAACAGGAAGUGGUGUUUCCAGUGGUGGACAGGUGAGUAAUGAGUAAGAACCUACCCUUGGAAGGGGAACAACAACUAGAAACGGCUGCUAAUACCCCAUAAACAGAGGAGGAAAUGGAGGAAUCUGCCCAAUGAAGGGCUCGCAUCUGAUCAGGUAGUUGGUGAGGCAAUAGCUUACCAAGGUAAUGAUUAGUAGCUGGUCCGAGAGGAUGAUCAGCCAUGUUAGGACUGAGACAUAGCCCAAACUCCUAUGGGAGGCAGCGGUGGAGAAUUUUUCGUAAUGGGCGAAAGCCUGACAGACAAUGCCACAUGGAGGUAGAAGGCUUAUGGGUUAUGAACUUCCUUUCCCAAAGAAAAAAGAAUGAUGGUAUCUGGGGAAUUAGUAUCAGCCAAUUCUAUGCUAGCAGCUGCGGUAAUACAGAUGAUGCAAGUAUUAUCAAGAAUGAUUUGGUGUAAAGCAUGUGUAGAUGGCUUUUUAAGUCUACCGUCAAAUCCCAGGGCUCAAUCCUGGACAGACGGUGAAAACUACCAACUUGGAAUAUGAUAGAGGCAGAAGGAAUUUCUAGUGGAGUAGUGAAAUGCGUAGAAAUCAGAAAGAACACCAACGACGAAAGGACUAUGCUGGGUCGACACUGACACUGAGAGAUGAACGCUAGGGAGUGAAUGGGAUUAGAUACCCCAGUAGUCCUAACCAUAAAAAAUGGAUACUAGGCGUUGUGCAUAUCGACCCAUGCAAUGCUGUAGCUAACGCGUUAAGUAUCCUGCUUGUGGACUAUGUUCGCAAGAAUGAAACUUAAAGGAAUUGACAGGGUCUGCACAAGCAGUGGAGUAUGUGCUUUGAUUCGAUGUAAAGCAAAGAACUUUAACAAGGCUUGACAUGCCUCGAAUCCUCUUGAAAGAGAGGGGUGCCUUCAGGAAUGUGGACACAAGUGGUGCAUGGCUGUCAUCUGCUCAUGUCGUAAGGUGUUGGGUUAAGUCCCGUAAUGAGCGCAACCCUCGUGUCUAGUGGCCACUGUUGAAUUUGGAACCCUAAACAGACAGUCGGUGAUAAACCGGAGGAAGGUGAGGAUCACGUCAAGUCAUCAUGCCCCUUAUGGCCUGGGCAACACACAUGCUUGAAAAACCCAUCCUCAAUUCGGAUUGUAGGUUGCAACUGGCCUACAUGAAGUUGAAAUCGCUAGUAAUCACCGAUCACCCAUACGGUGGUGAAUUUGUUCCCAGGCCUUGUACACAUUGCCUGUCACACUAUGGGAGCUGGUCAUGGCCAAAGUCAUUACCUUAACUGCAAGGACGGGGAUGCCCAAGGCAGGGCUGGUGACUGAAGUGAAGUCGUAACAAGGUAGCCAUACUGGAAGGCACGGCUA